ensembl:lncRNA
GGGGUCUUUACGGGUCCAGCACACACACAAAAGGCUACAUCUGAAACAGCACGUCGUAUUACAGGAUGUGGAAAACGCGAUUCUCAAUAAUCCCCUCCCCCUCUCCAUCCCUGCCCUACUCAGCGGUAUAUAUAAUCCGAUGACUUCUCUCCUUCUUCUUCUUCAUCUGUGACUAUUCAUUCUGUGUGGCACGUGAUGGCCGAGUUGAACAGGCUACAGAUGAAGAUGUGUCAGGCACAGACGAAAUUUCCCGUAAACAUCAGAGUCAGAGUGAGAAAGUGAGUGUAUGUGUGUGUGUGUGUGUGUGUGUGUGUGUGAGAGAGAGAGAGAGAGAGAGAGAGAGAGAGGGUGAGAUAGAGUGAGAAAGAAGACAGAGAGGGGGUCAGAUAGACAGAGAGAGGGGGAGAGAGAGAUAGAGUGAGAGAGAAGACAGACAGAGAGAGGGAGAAAGGGACAGAUAGACAAAGAGAGGGGAGAGAGACAGAGAGAGGGGGACAGAUAGAGAGAGGGGGAGAGAGGGACAGAUAGACAGAGAGAGGGGAGAGAGACAGAGAGGGACAGAUAGACAGAGCAAGGGGG